AAAAGAUUGGUUUGUAGAACAGAGGUGGUAGACCAACAGUUAAAUAUAUCCUAUAUCCAUUUUACAAACCCAAUUGGAAUAUGUGAAGAACAGGGAAGAAACAUGUGAUAUAAAUGUACCUAAGCAAGUCAAAAUAGAAGAUAGAAUCAAGUUUAUUUCAAGAUAUAGUACACUAUCUUCUGAUUUAAAACAUACUAUAGACAGACAUUGGCAUAUAUUAUCUAAGUGUCAUCCUAAUAUUGUGGAAUUUGAA